rnacentral:rRNA from 1 species
GACGAACGCUGGCGGCGUGCCUAAUACAUGCAAGUCGAGCGCAGGAAACUGACGGAACUCUUCGGAGGGAAGGCAGUGGAAUGAGCGGCGGACGGGUGAGUAACACGUAAGGAACCUGCCUCAAGGAUUGGGAUAACUCCGAGAAAUCGGAGCUAAUACCGGAUAGUUCAUCGGACCGCAUGGUCCGCUGAUGAAAGGCGCUCCGGCGUCACCUUGAGAUGGCCUUGCGGUGCAUUAGCUAGUUGGUGGGGUAACGGCCCACCAAGGCGACGAUGCAUAGCCGACCUGCGAGGGUGAUCGGCCACACUGGGACUGAGACACGGCCCAGACUCCUACGGGAGGCAGCAGUAGGGAAUCUUCCACAAUGGACGAAAGUCUGAUGGAGCAACGCCGCGUGAGUGAUGAAGGUUUUCGGAUCGUAAAACUCUGUUGUAAGGGAAGAACACGUACGAGAGGGAAUGCUCGUACCUUGACGGUACCUUACGAGAAAGCCACGGCUAACUAUGUGCCAGCCGCCGCAGUAA